rnacentral:rRNA from 1 species
UUCUUCAAUUAAACAAUAUCUGUAAAGAUAAAUAGGAUUGCAAAUUCAUUUUUUAAAAAUCUAAAGCAGGGUCGGGCCUAGUUAGUACUUGGAUGGGAGACCACCUAGGAAGACCAGGUACUGUAGGUG